rnacentral:misc_RNA from 1 species
GAUGAAGAACGUAGCGAAAUGCGAUACGUAAUGUGAAUUGCAGAAUUCAGUGAAUCAUCGAGUCUUUGAACGCACAUUGCGCCCCCUGGUAUUCCGGGGGGCAUGCCUGUCCGAGCGUCAUUGCUGCCCUCAAGCACGGCUUGUGUGUUGGGCCUCCGUCCUCCUCCCGGGGGACGGGCCCGAAAGGCAGCGGCGGCACCGCGUCCGGUCCUCGAGCGUAUGGGGCUUCGUCACCCGCUCUUGUAGGCCCGGCCGGCGCUUGGCGACACAUCAAUCUUUUUUUCCAGGUUGACCUCGGAUCAGGUAGGGAUACCCGCUGAACUUAAGCAUAUCAAUAAGCGGAGGA